rnacentral:sRNA from 1 species
AUGGCUGUCGUCAGCUCGUGUCGUGAGAUGUUGGGUUAAGUCCCGCAACGAGCGCAACCCUUGUCCUAUGUUGCCAGCGGGUAAUGCCGGGGACUCGUAGGAGACUGCCGGGGUCAACUCGGAGGAAGGUGGGGAUGACGUCAAGUCUGCAUGCCCCUUACGCGUAGGGCUGCAAACAUGCUACAAUGGCCGGUACAAAGGGCUGCUAUCCCGCGAGGGGGAGCGAAUCCCAAAAAGCCGGUCUCAGUUCGGAUUGGAGUCUGCAACUCGACUCCAUGAAGUCGGAGUCGCUAGUAAUCCCGGAUCAGCAACGCCGGGGUGAAUACGUUCCCGGGCCUUGUACACACCGCCCGUCACACCACGAAAGUUGGUAACACCCGAAGCCAGUGGCCCAACCGCAAGGAGGGAGCUGUCGAAGGUGGGAUCAGCGAUUGGGGUGAAGUCGUAACAAGGUAGCCGUACCGGAAGGUGCGGCUGGAUCACCUCCUUUCUAAGGAGUCUUGACCUGGAUCGUUUUGGUCCAGGGACUCCCAAGUUGAUCACUGAUUAUUUGUUCCUUCGCUCAACCCACUCGUCGUAGGAUUCGUCCUCCUUGUGGGCCUGGUCGAAGGGGCCGUCCUUCUGUUCCGUUUUGAGGGAGCAACCUGGCGCUCCUGCCCCGCGUGGGUGGGAGCGCCUUGCCGUGCCCCUCGGUACGCAGCCGGUCGUUGUGGCCGGUGAUGCGCGUCGCACCUUGAGAACUUCAUAGCGAGCACGAGCAUCUUUGAUUUCCAAGCUACAAAGAGCCAACGGUGGAUGCCUUGGCGCCUGAAGCCGAUGAAGGACGUGGGUGGCUGCGAAAAGCCACGGGGAGCUGCCGACCAAGCUUCGAUCCGUGGAUGUCCGAAUGGGGAAACCCGG